rnacentral:lncRNA from 1 species
ACUGAUUAUCAUAGCGUAAUGUGAUCUAAUAAUUUAUUUAAGAUUGCCAUUUGAGGACACCUUCUACAUCUGAGAAAACGUGCAUUGGUUUUGCAGCAUUUUUCUCCUCCAAAUAAAGGUCAGUAAGCUAACAGCUACACUGUAAGAAGUGAGUUUAUGGAUAGUGUUAACCACCUUAU